rnacentral:rRNA from 1 species
UACGAAGGGGGGCUAGCGUUGCUCGGAAUCACUGGGCGUAAAGGGUGCGUAGGCGGGUCUUUAAGUCAGGGGUGAAAUCCUGGAGCUCAACUCCAGAACUGCCUUUGAUACUGAGGAUCUUGAGUUCGGGAGAGGUGAGUGGAACUGCGAGUGUAGAGGUGAAAUUCGUAGAUAUUCGCAAGAACACCAGUGGCGAAGGCGGCUCACUGGCCCGAUACUGACGCUGAGGUGCGAAAGCGUGGGGAGCAAACAGG